AGAGUUUGAUCAUGGCUCAGGAUGAACGCUGGCGGCGUGCUUAACACAUGCAAGUCGAACGAUGAACUGGUGCUUGCACUGGGGAUUAGUGGCGAACGGGUGAGUAACACGUGAGUAACCUGCCCUUGACUCUGGGAUAAGCCUGGGAAACUGGGUCUAAUACCGGAUAUGACCUUCCAUCGCAUGGUGGUUGGUGGAAAGCUUUUGUGGUUUUGGAUGGACUCGCGGCCUAUCAGCUUGUUGGUGGGGUAAUGGCCUACCAAGGCGACGACGGGUAGCCGGCCUGAGAGGGUGACCGGCCACACUGGGACUGAGACACGGCCCAGACUCCUACGGGAGGCAGCAGUGGGGAAUAUUGCACAAUGGGCGGAAGCCUGAUGCAGCGACGCCGCGUGAGGGAUGACGGCCUUCGGGUUGUAAACCUCUUUCAGUAGGGAAGAAGCGAAAGUGACGGUACCUGCAGAAGAAGCGCCGGCUAACUACGUGCCAGCAGCCGCGGUA
rnacentral:rRNA from 1 species